GUGCUUGCUUCAGCAGCACAUAUACUAAUAUUGGCAUGAUACAGAGAAGACUGACAUGGCCCCUGAGCAAGGAUGACUUGCAAAUCCAUGAAGCAUUCCAUAUUUUU